rnacentral:rRNA from 1 species
GGAAUUGACGGGGCCCGCACAAGCGGUGGAGCAUGUGGUUUAAUUCGAUGCAACGCGAAGAACCUUACCUGGGCUUGACAUCCCGGGAAUCCCUUGGAAACAAGGGAGUGCCCUUCGGGGAACCUGGAGACAGGUGCUGCAUGGCUGUCGUCAGCUCGUGUCGUGAGAUGUAGGGUUAAGUCCCGCAACGAGCGCAACCCUUGUCUUUAAUUGCCAUCAUUGAGUUGGGCACUUUAAAGAGACUGCCGGUGUUAAACCGGAGGAAGGUGGGGAUGACGUCAAGUCCUCAUGGCCUUUAUGCCCAGGGCUACACACGUGCUACAAUGGGUGGUACAAAGGGUCGCGAACCCGCGAGGGGGAGCCAAUCCCAAAAAGCCGCUCUCAGUUCGGAUUGCAGGCUGCAACUCGCCUGCAUGAAGCCGGAAUCGCUAGUAAUCGCGGAUCAGCAUGCCGCGGUCGAAUACGUUCCCGGGCCUU